CCGACCUUAGCUCAGUUGGUAGAGCGGAAGACUGUAGUCUGUGACAGAAAAUCUUUAGGUCGCUGGUUCGAUUCCGGCAGGUCGGA
rnacentral:tRNA from 2 species